rnacentral:tRNA from 1 species
CCUUCGAUAGCUCAGUUGGUAGAGCGGAGGACUGUAGUGGGUGCAUGUCUGACAUCCUUAGGUCGCUGGUUCGAAUCCGGCUCGAAGGA